ensembl:snRNA U6 U6 spliceosomal RNA
GUGCUCGCUUGGGUGGCACGUUUACUAAAAUUGGAAUGAUACAGAGAUUAGCAUGGCCCCUGGGCCAGGAUAACAUGCAAAUUUGUGAAUUGUUCCAUAUUUAA